rnacentral:rRNA from 1 species
GAUGAACGCUAGCGGCAGGCCUAACACAUGCAAGUCGAGGGGUAGAGGUUGCUUGCAACCUUGAGACCGGCGCACGGGUGCGUAACGCGUAUGCAAUCUGCCUUGUACUGAGGGAUAGCUCAGAGAAAUUUGGAUUAAUACCUCAUAGUAUCUUUUCCCGGCAUCGGGAGAUUAUUAAAGUUCCAACGGUACAAUGUGAGCAUGCGUCCCAUUAGAUAGUUGGUAUGGUAACGGCAUACCAAGGCAAUGAUGGGUGGGGGUCCUGAGAGGGCGAGCCCCACCACGGGUACUGAGCAACGGCCCAGACGCCUACGGGAGGAAGCAGUGAGGAAGAUUGGUCAAUGGGCGCAAGCCUGAACCAGCCAUGCCGGGUGCAGGAGGAAGCAUCUAUGGUGUGUAAACUGCUUUUAUACGGGAAGAAACACCGGUUCGUGAACCGGCUUGACGGUACCGUAAGAAUAAGGAUCGGCUAACUCCGUGCCAGCAGCCGCCGUAA